rnacentral:rRNA from 1 species
GACGAACGCUGGCGGCGUGCUUAACACAUGCAAGUCGAAUGGAAAGGCCCUGCUUUUGUGGGGUGCUCGAGUGGCGAACGGGUGAGUAACACGUGAGUAACCUGCCCUUGACUUUGGGAUAACUUCAGGAAACUGGGGCUAAUACCGGUUAGGGGCUCCGCCGCCAGGGUGGGGGUUGGAAGGUUUCGGCGGUUGGGGAUGGACUCGCGGCUUAUCAGCUUGUUGGUGGGGUAGUGGCUUACCAAGGCUUUGACGGGUAGCCGGCCUGAGAGGGUGACCGGCCACAUUGGGACUGAGAUACGGCCCAGACUCCUACGGGAGGCAGCAGUGGGGAAUAUUGCACAAUGGGCGGAAGCCUGAUGCAGCAACGCCGCGUGCGGGAUGACGGCCUUCGGGUUGUAAACCGCUUUCGCCUGUGACGAAGCGUGAGUGACGGUAAUGGGUAAAGAAGCACCGGCUAACUACGUG